UUUUUCCUGGUGCCUGUUCCUGUCUCAGGUAUGGCAGAGCACGAUUCCUCCAGUCUCUCUCUUUCUCAGACUCCCCAGUGCUCCUUAACCUUUCGAGUUCCUCCCACAGCUCUGCUCCUCAGUUUGGGCUGAGCACAUCACCCACCUCGUCACCCCUCACACAGCUCUUCUCACCACGCCGAGGAAGGCUCUGGCACGUCCUUUGUCUGCCUCUUCUGGGAGCUCUGCCAGGGCUGCUACAAUUGUCCUGGUCGGUGCAGAGGACAUGGCUCUGCUGAGGGGACACCACAGCCCAGAAGGUCAGUGUGGAGGACACAGACACGGCUCUGCUGAGGGGACACCACAGCCCAGAAGGAAAUUGUGAAGUCCUUAGGAUUUUGAGGUACACCAAAGUUCUUCCAUGGACUCAGAUACUGUUCAUCUAAUUUAUGAGCUUUUGUCUCAAUUAUACAUACAAACCAGUGCUGACCAAGGGAUGCAGCGAAGCCCUGCUGACAGAGGGACAGAGAAGAAUUCAAAUCACCCAGCAAGUAAGCCAAGUAAGUACUGAAACCAACAGCAGCAGGAUCAACCAUUACCUGGAAACCAGAAACAAUAUUAAAACCAAAAAUUAGAGACCUUUGAGAUCUUCUUUCUAUAAAUUCUUCUUUUGUCUCCAAAUAAUGUGAUGCAAAAUUCUGUGGCUCUGUUUUAUACCUGAGUUUUGGUAGGUGGUCCUCAAGCCAGAAAUAAGUCAUUUGCCCCCCAAAGAUCUGUCACUUUAAUUGAGGAGAUGGAAAAGCAAUAUUCAAACCUAGCAGAGAAAGAAACUGAACCUAAGGGCUCCUGCAUGUCGGAGAACAGAUAGGGAGAAGGUUGCUCACUGGGCUAAAGGCUCAUUGGGCUCUAGUCAAAGACAAAUUGGAUUUAUCAGCAAAGUAUUUCUUCUAGAUUGGAGAUGAAAUAAGUAGAGCUGCAACAAGAAAGAAAUUCUUCAUCCGUAAAAGCUGAAGGCUAGAAAUGAAGCAAGAAUUCCCUUGUUUUGAAUAUUGUUGCAUCCCUUAAAUUUGAAAUCCUCAGUUUUCCUCAGUUUGCUAGGCCUUGCAUGCUGCUUCUGUUUAGUAUUGAACCCUGUUGGGCCCCAGUGAUUCAUUACAUUGAACAUUUAUGUGUUAUUACCCUCCUCACUUUUGAUAUGAAGAACAACAGGUAAGAGCCAACAUCUUUGCUGGUUUCCUGAUACUGACACAGAAGGAAUGCACAAGCCUGCUGCUUGGAAACUUGAAACUGGAGCCACAGGAACCAACCCAGCUUUGUGAUUUCACCUGCGGUGCAAACACCUUGGAUUAUCCUCAUCUCUUCAGAAACACUUGAAAGAGUGUACUGACGUAGUGCACAUCAUAGGUAAACUAUAAUUAAAACAAGAGGCAGAAGCAAUAUGGUAUGAGGGUAGAAGAAGCAGGCAAUGGGAAAAUCAGGAUACAAAGGGCUGCUGUGGGGAGUUGGCUUUUGG